AUUGAACGCUGGCGGCAUGCCUUACACAUGCAAGUCGAACGGUAACAGGUCUUCGGAUGCUGACGAGUGGCGAACGGGUGAGUAAUACAUCGGAACGUGCCCGAUCGUGGGGGAUAACUACUCGAAAGAGUAGCUAAUACCGCAUACGAUCUACGGAUGAAAGCGGGGGAUCUUCGGACCUCGCGCGGACGGAGCGGCCGAUGGCAGAUGAGGUAGUUGGUGGGAUAAAGGCUUACCAAGCCGACGAUCUGUAGCUGUUCUGAGAGUACGACCAGCCACACUGGGACUGAGACACGGCCAAGACUCCAACGUGAGGAAGCAUUGGGGAAUUUUGGAGAAUGGGCGAAAGCUUGAUCCAGCAAUGCCGCGUGCAGGAUGAAGGCCUUCGGGAUGUAAACUGCUUUUGUACGGAACGAAAAGACUCCUUCUAAUACAGGGUGUCCAUGACGGUACCGUAAGAAUAAGCACCGGCUAACUACGUGCCAGCCGCCGCGGUAA
rnacentral:rRNA from 1 species